CCUUAUAGAGGGGGGAUAAUAUCCUUGUCAAGCCUUGGCCAAGCUCCAAGACAAAGCACAGUUGGAGAUCCUUUUCCAGCACAAAAGAAUUAAAGAGCCACAGGCCAUUGACAGGGUUGAAGACAAGCAGAGGAUCAGAUGCCAGAUCAAAGCAGAGGGCAAGAAAGUCUGUGGGGCUAUUCAGGGACAGACAAGCUGCUUAGUGUGAGAAGCUCCCUUGAAUCAUCUUUGAAGACUAAAACAUUGAUAAUUUUUGGGCUCUCGUGUUUCUUCAAGCAGCUCAAGUUCUGUAAUGCCCAGCCUGAUGAAAACUUCCGGAAAAUUCAAAAGCACCCAGAACUUGAAUAGAAAAGCACCUUACCUCAAGAAUUUGUCAGUUUGCGGGAC